rnacentral:rRNA from 1 species
GACGUAGGGCGCGAGCGUUGUCCGGAUUUAUUGGGCGUAAAGAGCGUGUAGGCGGCCAGAAAAGUCCGCUGUGAAAACUCGAGGCUCAACUUCGAGCUGUCGGUGGAAACUUUCUGGCUAGAGUCCGGAAGAGGAGAAUGGAAUUCCUGGUGUAGCGGUGAAAUGCGCAGAUAUCAGGAAGAACACCCGUGGCGAAGGCGGUUCUCUGGGACGGUACUGACGCUGAGACGCGAAAGCGUGGGGAGCGAACAGG